GUGUACAAGUCUCCUGGAACGGGGCGUCAUAGAGGGUGAGAAUCCCGUCUUUGACACGGACUNCCAGUGCGUUGUGGUAUGCUCUCAAAGAGUCGAGUUGUUUGGGAAUGCAGCUCAAAAUGGGUGGUAAAUUCCAUCUAAAGCUAAAUAUUGGCGAGAGACCGAUAGCGAACAAGUACCGUGAGGGAAAGAUGAAAAGAACUUUGGAAAGAGAGUUAAACAGUACGUGAAAUUGCUGAAAGGGAAACGCUUGAAGUCAGUCGCGUUGGCCAGGGAUCAGCCUCGCUUUUGCGUGGUGUACUUUCUGGUUGACGGGUCAGCAUCAAUUUUGACCGCUGGAAAAGGUCCUGAGGAAUGUAGCAGCCCCGGCUGUGUUAUAGCCUCUGGUCACAUACGGCGGUUGGGAUUGAGGAACUCAGCACGCCGAAAGGCCGGGUUUCGACCACGUUCGUGCUUAGGAUGCUGGCAUAAUGGCUUUAAGCGACCCGUCUUGAAACACGGACCAAGGAGUCUAACGUGCCUGCGAGUGUUUGGGUGGAAACCCCGAGCGCGUAAUGAAAGUGAAAGUUGAGAUCCCUGUCGUGGGGAGCAUCGACGCCCGGACCAGAACUUUUGGGACGGAUCCGCGGUGGAGCAUGUACGUUGGGACCCGAAAGAUGGUGAACUAUGCCUGAAUAGGGUGAAGCCAGAGGAAACUCUGGUGGAGGCUCGUAGCGAUUCUGACGUGCAAAUCGAUCGU
rnacentral:rRNA from 1 species